GGAUGCGAUCAUACCAGCACUAAAGCACCGGAUCCCAUCAGAACUCCGAAGUUAAGCGUGCUUGGGCGAGGGUAGUACUAGGAUGUGUGACCUCCUCGGAAGUCCUCGUGUUGCAUUCC
rnacentral:rRNA from 1 species